GCGGCCGGUCAACACUGUGCGUCUGGUGAGGUAGUAGGUUGUAUAGUUUAGAAUCUUACCUUGGUGAACUAUGCAAGUUUCUACCUCACCAGAUACAGAAUCUUCUCAGCUGC
rnacentral:ncRNA from 2 species